rnacentral:rRNA from 1 species
GGAUUUCAGCGGGAGACAAGGGUCUACCUUACGGGUAAGUAUCUCUCAGGCUCCUGCAUCCUCAACAGGAACGUCGCUGCGAUUCAUUUCGUGGUACGGUACUGUUGACUUUUACUUUGAGGAAAUUAGAGUGUUCACGGCAAGCAAACGCGUGUAUACAUUAGCAUGGAAUAAUAAUAUAGGACCUUGGAUCUAUUUUGUUGGUUUCUAGAACUAAGGUAAUGAUAAAUAGGGACAGUUUGGGGGCAUUUGUACUAACGCGUCAGAGGUGGAAUUCUUGGAUUGUGUUAUGACAAACUACUGCGAAAGCAUUUGCCAAGGAUGUUUUCAUUGAUCAAGAACGAAAGUAUGGGGAUCGAAGACGAUUAGAUACCGUCGUAGUCUAUACCAUAAACUAUGCCAACUAGGAAUGAGACGGAUGUAUAUUUUAUGACCCGUUUCGCGCCUUAUGAGAAAUCAAAGUUUUUGGGUUCCGGGGGGAGUAUGGUCGCAAGUCUGAAACUUAAAGGAAUUGACGGAAGGGCACCACCAGGAGUGGAGCCUGCGGCUUAAUUUGACUCAACACGGGAAAACUUACCAGGUCCAGACAUAGUAAGGAUUGACAGAUUGAUAGCUCUUUCUGGAUUCUAUGGGU